UAAACGUUGAACUGAAACGAAUCACAUACAGCAUCGCAAGGACUAUCGAAAGGAAUAUUGUUUGUUAUUUAUGGUUAUGACUUUGAAGUACGGGAGGAGCGUUUUUUAUCUUUCCAAGCAGGAUGGCACUAGAAAAAUUGUAUUCACCCUAUUGUGUUUGUGGUGUGCUAUUCAUUCUACAAAAACACAAACUGCUUCAACAACUGAGCCUACAACUACAGCUUCAACAACUACUGAACUUAUCAAGCCUACAACAUCAGUUCCAACCUCAUCAGAUUCUCAAGGUAUAACAACAGAGGCUCCAACCACAACAGUUAUAACUUCAGAAACAACAAUUGCAACUGAAACAACAAAUGCACCAUCCACAUCUCCCACUACAACAACAUCAGCUCCAACUUCAUUUGAAUCUACAGCUGCAACAACACUUGCUUCGACAACAAUGCCUACAACUUCAGAAACAACAACUGCAACUGAAACAACAAAUGUAGCAUCCACAACCCCAACUGAUCCUUCAACUACUACAUUAGCUCCAACAUCCUCUGAAGCUCAAAGUACAACAGCGCAGACCACAGUGCCUCUUGUAACCACAACUACUGAAGCUGUCACAACCACAAAUGUUAGUCCAGAAAC